rnacentral:lncRNA from 13 species
AUAAGAACCAUUCAUACUGUCAGAUCUAAUAUGAAGAACUGAAUACUAAAGAGAAGAAGAGGUAGACCAGUACAUAUUCAUGUAACUUUAUUUUUAAUUAGCAGAUCAAUUAACUUAACUUAUGCAGUUAUCCAAACACAUUCAUUAUCAAUGACUAAAACAAAUGUUUUUAAAAGAUAACUUAAUAAACACAUGUAGUAGUUUCAUAACCUGUGUAUCAUUAAACAGUUGUUUAAUAGCAAAAAUAAUCCCCACAAACUAAUGCUGAAAACUGAUAAUCUCUAUCUGAUACAUGUUGUGUCUACUAGUUCAUUCCCACAGAGAACUGUAGAGGGACAACCCGAAUGAAAGCAAGUGCCCACAGCAAUGUUCCAACAUCUGGUGGAAAGCCUUCCCGGAAGAGCCUGUUAUAGCGGCAAAAGGGGGACCAACUCCAUAUUAAUACCCAUGUUUUUGGAAUGAGAUGUUCGAUGCGCAGGUGUCCACAUACUUUUGGUCAUGUAAUGUAGAAUAGAAAUUGUAGGACGUAUAAAUUACAAUUUAUAUGAUAUGUUAUGAAUUGGAAUUUGUAAAAUAUGUUACAAAUGUUACGAAUUACAAUUUAUUGUUGCUAAUGCUAGCUAGGUGGCUAUGCUUUGGGUUAAGUUUAGGGUUAGGGAAAAAAACUUUUAGCUAACAUGCUAAGGAGCGGCAUGCUAAGCUAACAUGCUAAGGAGCGGCAUGCUAAGCUAACAUGCUAAGGAGCGGCAUGCUAAGCUAACAUGCUAAGGAGUGGCAUGCUAAGCUAACAUGCUAAGGAGCGGCAUGCUAAGCUAACAUGCUAAGGAGCGGCUUGCUAAGCUAACAUGCUAAGUAGUAUCUAAAAAGGAGUAAGACGUUGCAAAGUUGCUUAUUAGCUAAAAUAAGCUAAAGUCAUCUGUGAUGAGAUUCAAACAUGCAACCUUUGGGUUGCUAGAUGUUCGUGUUAUACGCCCAGCCAUCCAAAGAGCAGGAGUAAGGCUUCUCUCCUGUGUGUAUACAGUUGGUGUGUUUUUAAGCUGACCAGUUGAAACUCUCCCCACAGAAAGAGUUAGACCAGGCUGAGAGGGAAGCAGUACCACCAUGUCAACUGUUAAACUAUAAAAUGUUUGUUUUUAAAAUGAGAAGCCUCACAGAAGAUAUUUAACAUUAACUGAAAAUCCAAGGUCAUCUCAAUAUAUUGUGUCUAUAAGGUAGUAGUUUUGGAAUUGUUAGCUAGAUUACUUGUUGGUUAUUACUGCAUUGUCGGAACUAGAAGCACAAGCAUUUCGCUACACUCGCAUUAACAUCUGCUAACCAUGUGUAUGUGACAAAUAAAAUUUGAUUAGAUUAGAUUUGAAUAUCUUUACAUUAGAAGCUAACAAAACACACCAAAACAGACAAGGUGCACAGUGAUAUGUAAAGUAAAGAGAGGCUAACAUUCUAUAAACACUCCCUUUCCUCUGCACAGUUUU